rnacentral:rRNA from 1 species
GGUUGAUCCUGCCAGUAAGUCAUAUGCUUGUCUCAAAGAUUAAGCAUGCAUGGUGUAAGUAAUGAACAAAUUCAGACGUGAAACUGCGAAAUGGCUCAAUUAAAUCAGUUAUAGUUUGUUUGAUGGUAUUUUGCUAACUCGGAUAACCGUAGUAAUUCUAGAGCUAAUACGUGCAACAAACCCCGACUUCUGGAAGGGAUGCAUUUAUUAGAUAAAGGUCGACGCGGGCUUUGCCGUUACUCUGAUGAAUUCAUGAUAAACUCGACGGAAUCGCACGGCCUUUGUGCCGGUGACGCAUCAAUUCACAUUUCUGCCUAUCAACUUUCGUGUGGUAGGAUAUGGCCUAACUAUGGUGGUGACGGUGAAGAGAAUUAGGGUUUGAUUCCGGAGAGGGAGCCUGAGAAAACGGCUACCACAUCAAGGAAGGCAGCAAAGGCGUGCAAAUUACGCCAAUCCUGACACGGGGAGGUAGUGACAAUAAAUAACAAAUAUCGGGCUCUAUGAGUCUGGUAUUGGGAAUGAGUAACAAAUCUAAAUCCCUUAACGAGGAUCCAUUGGUGGGGCAGUCGGUGUCAGCAGCCGCGUAAGAUUCCAGCUUCCAAUAGCGUAUAUUUAAGUUGUUGCAGUUUAAAAAGCUCGUAGUUGGACUUUAGGGUGGGUCGGCGGUCCGCCCACGGUGAGCACCGAUCUGCUCGUCCUUAUUGCCGUUGGAAAAAUGCGCUCCCUGGCCUUAAUUUGCCGGUCGUUCCUCCGGCGCUGUUACUUUGAAGAAAUUAGAGUGCUCAAAGCCAGGCCUAGCUUGUUUUUUUUUUUUAAAUACAUUUUAGCAACAAUGGGAUAACAUCAAUAGGAUUUCGAUCCUAAUGUGCUUGGCUUCGGAUCAGAGUAAAUGAUUAACAGGGACAGUCGGGGGCAUUCCGUAUUUUCAUAUCAGAGGUGAAAUUCUUGGUUUUAUGAAAGACGAACAACUGCGAAAGCAUUUGCCAAGGAUUGUUUUCAUUAUCCAAGAAGAAAAGUUGGGGCUCGAAGACGAAUCAGAUACCAAUCCCUAGUCUCAACCAUAAACUAUGCCGACCAGGGAUCGCGGAUGUUGCUUUAGGACUCCGCCGACACCUUAAUGAGAAAAUCAAAAGCCUUUGUGGUUCCGGGGGGAGUAUGGUCGCAAAGGCUUGAAACUUUUAAAAGAAUUGACGGAAGGCACAACCAGGAAGUGGAGCCUGCACUUAAUUUGACUCAACACGGGGAAACUACGCAGGUCCAGACAUCUAGUAAGGAUUGACAGACUGAGAGCUCUUUCUUGAUUCUAAUGGGUGGUGGUGGCAUGGCCGUUUCUUAGUUGGUGGAGCGAAUUUGUCUGGUUAAUUUCGUUAACGAACGAAGAACCUCAGUGCCUAAACUAGCUACACGGAGGUGAUCCUCCGUGGCUAGCUUCUUAGAGGGACUUAUGGCCUUUUAGCCAAAGGAGUUUGAGCAAUAACAAGUCUGUGAUGCCCUAAGAAUGUUUGGGCCCGCACGCGUGCUAAGCACUGAUGUAUUCAACGAGUCUAUAGCUUGCCGACAGGCCCGGGUAAUCUUUGGAAAUUUCAAUCGUGAUGGGGAAUAGAUCAUUGCAAUUGUUGGUCUUCCAACAGACGAAUUCCUAGUAAGCGAGAGUCAUCAGCAUCGCGUUGGAUACGUCCUAACCUUUGUACAUUACCGCCCGUCGCUCCUAACCGAUUGAAAGUCCGGUGAAGUGUUCCGGAUCGCGGCGACGUGGGCGGUUCCGCUGCCCGCGACGUCGCGAGAAGUCCACUGAACUUAAUCAUUUAGAGAAGGAGAAGUCGCAACUUGGGCCGAUGGAUGUACCGGGACCAC